GUCCUCUCUGAAGGCAUGAUCUAAAGUCAGUUUAAUUCAAUGGAAAGAUUCCUAUUUACUUUAGUGGGCUUUGCAUCAGGCUUUUGGAUUUAAUCAGGAACAAUGUAAUGUGUAAACGAGCCCUUAAAAUGGAAACUCAGAAAGUUUCUGGCUCCCAACCAGUAAGUACAUUUUGAGCAUAGAACUCUAUUUCCUGUGCCUCUUUUGCUAAUAAGAUUGAAGAACAUCUUUUGUCCAAACAUGCCCCAGUGCUUCAAAUUAUCUGACUUUGCCAACUCCUCCCUAAUAGAUGGAGUUUAUCUGGAGACUUCUAUAUAGGUGGAGAGGAUGGGGAGGUCCAGUCCCUAUGACCACUUCCUGAUUCUACUAUACAGAGAACCACACCUCAAACACAGGGAAAAGAGAGAAGGUUGUAGCACAGUGUAACUGAUACCACAACUGCAACUACAGGUGGAGUAAGUGUUGGAUCAUUCACUAUGUAAUGCCUGCUGGUCUGUCUAAUUAACUGUGUGCACAGUGGGGCACUCAGACUCCUAGUACCGUAUGAUCUGGAGUGCUAGAAUUUAGAAGCACCAAGUCAUAUUCACAGGCUUCAAAUGUGACAAGGGAAACAGGCCCUUAAGUCCUUCAUUAAGAGUGACAAUAUCCUCCCAGCCUGGAAAGCAAGAGAUUGGUCCAAAUAAUAGUAGCAACAUCUUCUAUGUGCCAGUGUCCUGCAGAAACUAGAGAACAGCAAGG